rnacentral:rRNA from 1 species
GACGAACGCUGGCGGCGUGCCUAAUACAUGCAAGUAGAACGCACAGUUUAUACCGUAGCUUGCUACACCAUAGACUGUGAGUUGCGAACGGGUGAGUAACGCGUAGGUAACCUGCCUGGUAGCGGGGGAUAACUAUUGGAAACGAUAGCUAAUACCGCAUAAUAUUAAUUAUUGCAUGAUAAUUAAUUGAAAGGUGCAAUUGAACCACUACCAGAUGGACCUGCGUUGUAUUAGCUAGUAGGUGAGGUAACGGCUCACCUAGGCGACGAUACAUAGCCGACCUGAGAGGGUGAGCGGCCACACUGGGACUGAGACACGGCCCAGACUCCUACGGGAGGCAGCAGUAGGGAAUCUUCGGCAAUGGACGAAAGUCUGACCGAGCAACGCCGCGUGAGUGAAGAAGGUUUUCGGAUCGUAAAGCUCUGUUGUAAGAGAAGAACGGGUGUGAGAGUGGAAAGUUCACACUGUGACGGUAUCGUACCAGAAAGGAACGGCUAACUACGU